CUGAGGCACAGCAGCACCAUCGGAGGCCUCGGGCUGAGGCACAGCAGCACCAUCGGAGGCCUCGGGCUGAGGCACAGCAGCACCAUCGGAGGCCUCGAGCUGAGGCACAGCACCUCC